GAACGCCGUGUGAGAUGAAAGUCUCACGCACGGUGUGGAGUGGGGGAAAACUCGGAGAGAAUCUCAAAGGGUUACCUAUCACUAU
rnacentral:ncRNA from 1 species